AGGCUGGAGCUCAGAGGCCCGAUCACAGCUCACUGAAGCCUCAACCUCCCUGGCUCAAGUGUUUCUCUCACCUCAGCCCUCCUAAGUAACUGAGACUACAGUUACUUGGAGGUGAAAGUUGUAAGACAAAGAGUAUGUGGGAAGAAUGAAAAUAACAGUUCUAUUGAAACAAGGAAUGAAAACUCUGCCCCUAAGCUGACAUGGUUUAUGACUGACGAUGUCACCAAAUUGUGGAGAAGCACUCAUUAACAUAACUGAACAAUAGUUUUGAAAGCUCUUGUACAAGAUACAAGUAGCCAUAAGACUUACUGGCCUGGUGUGUGGAGACUUCAGAGGAGGUAGGGCAACUCUUCUAGGUGCCAUGAGCAAGCCCCAUUAAACUAAAGAAAUCAAAUCACCUCAUUCUUAAAGUCUUGAGAAGAUGAGAUAAACUUAAAAGCUUUCAACUGUGAAAGAACAGAAACAAAGCUCGCUGGAGAGAUGGGAUCUGAAUAGUCAAAUCAUUUUGAAUAGGCACUAUGUACUUGGGAACUUCUGCAUGAGCAAGUGAUUCUUGGAUAUUCCUGUAAAUCCAUUCUGAAUAUGUCAUUAUUGAUCUCCCUGUUGGAAGUCUCCCCUGACACCUCAGAGGAAGAGUGGGCACUGUGAGGGCUGCCUAGAAUGCCGUGAGAUAAAGGAUGUUCUGUUCAACAUCAUGCUUCAGGAAAUAUUUCUGCCUUAUCAUUCCUGAAAUGCCUCCCCAUCUACUCUGGCUCUUGUUUAGCAUGUUUUCAUUUCUAGAACAGUGUCAAGGUUCCCUGUGGCUAUUUGAACCCUCUACAGGUCCUGGAAUCCUGACUUUGAAAUUGUCUCUCUUGUCACCUGCUUGGUGACAUGUAUUAAACCCCUUCUGAUCAUUUCUCCUUUCUUCUUUACUAACCUUAAUAAAUAGCUG
rnacentral:lncRNA from 10 species